rnacentral:rRNA from 1 species
AAACGAUUAAAGUCAGUCGUGCCGGCGAGGAAUCAGCUUGCAAGAUAUUGUAGGUGUACUUACUCGCAAGGCAGGUUAGCAUCGGUUUUGGUCGUGUUAAAAUAAUUGUGGGAAGGUAGCUCCUUCGGGAGUGUUAUAGCCUGCUUUAGAUGACAUGAACAAGACCGAGGAUUGCAGCGAAUGCUUUGCUACGGAUCUGGUCUCUGUCAAUGGCUCGCUUGUCUUGAGCUUGCUCA